CACGGGGGGAGCAAGCGUUGUUCGGAAUCACUGGGCGUAAAGGGCGUGUAGGCGGUCAAGUAAGUGGAACGUGAAAUCCCUGGGCUCAACCCAGGAACUGCGUCCGAUACUGGUUGGCUUGAAUCCGGGAGAGGGAUGUGGAAUUCCAGGUGUAGCGGUGAAAUGCGUAGAUAUCUGGAGGAACACCGGUGGCGAAGGCGACAUCCUGGACCGGCAUUGACGCUGAGGCGCGAAAGCCAGGGGAGCAAACGGG
rnacentral:rRNA from 1 species